rnacentral:rRNA from 1 species
AGAGUUUGAUCCUGGCUCAGGAUGAACGCUGGCGGCGUGCUUAACACAUGCAAGUCGAGCGAAGCGCUUUACUUGGAUUUCUUCGGAAUGACGAGUAUUGUGACUGAGCGGCGGACGGGUGAGUAACGCGUGGGUAACCUGCCUCAUACAGGGGGAUAACAGUUAGAAAUGACUGCUAAUACCGCAUAAGACCACAGCACCGCAUGGUGCAGAGGUAAAAACUCCGGUGGUAUGAGAUGGACCCGCGUCUGAUUAGCUGGUUGGUGGGGUAACGGCCUACCAAGGCGACGAUCAGUAGCCGGCCUGAGAGGGCGACCGGCCACAUUGGGACUGAGACACGGCCCAAACUCCUACGGGAGGCAGCAGUGGGGAAUAUUGCACAAUGGGGGAAACCCUGAUGCAGCGACGCCGCGUGAAGGAAGAAGUAUUUCGGUAUGUAAACUUCUAUCAGCAGGGAAGAAAAUGACGGUACCUGACUAAGAAGCCCCGGCUAACUACGUGCCAGCAGCCGCGGUAAUACGUAGGGGGCAAGCGUUAUCCGGAUUUACUGGGUGUAAAGGGAGCGUAGACGGAGAGGCAAGUCUGAUGUGAAAACCCGGGGCUCAACCCCGGGACUGCAUUGGAAACUGUUUUUCUAGAGUGUCGGAGAGGUAAGCGGAAUUCCUAGUGUAGCGGUGAAAUGCGUAGAUAUUAGGAGGAACACCAGUGGCGAAGGCGGCUUACUGGACGAUGACUGACGUUGAGGCUCGAAAGCGUGGGGAGCAAACAGGAUUAGAUACCCUGGUAGUCCACGCCGUAAACGAUGACUACUAGGUGUCGGGUGGCAAAGCCAUUCGGUG